CCCCCCCCCCCCCCCCCCCCCCCCCCCCCCCCCCCCCCCCCCCCCCCCCCCCCCCCCCCCCCCCCCCCCCCCCUGUGCCCCAGGUGUGCCCAGGUGUGCCCAGGUGUAUCCCAGGUGUGCCCCAGGUGUGUCCCAGGUGUGCCCCAGGUGUGCCCAGGUGUGCCCCAGGAGUGCCCCAGGUGUAUCCCAGGAGUGCCCCAGGUGUAUCCCAGGUGUGCCCCAGGUGUAUCUAGGUGUGUCCUCACCCAUCCCCAGGUAUAUCCAGGUGUGCCCAGCUGUUCCCACGUGUAUCCCAGCCCCCCCAGGUGUGCCCCAGGUGUGCCCCAGGUGUGACCCAGGUGUGAUCCAGGUGUGUUCAGAUGUGUCCCAGGUGUAUCCCAGCCCCACCAGGUGUGCCCCAGGUGUAUCCCAGGUGUGCCCCAGGUGUAUCCAGGUGUAUCCAGGUGUGCCCAGGUGUGCCCAGGUGAGCCCCUGACCCAGGCUGGCGAUGCGGCCGAUCACCGUGCGGUCACCUGUGCUGAUCACCAGCCCCGUGGCUGUACCUGCGUGCACAGGUGAGACAGGUGAGACAGGUGUGACAGGUGUGACAGGUGUGACAGGUGAGAUCACAACCCCUGAUUGUGUCCAGGUG
rnacentral:lncRNA from 12 species